UCAACCCUCAAGCCCGGCUUGCUGUUGGAUCUCACCGUUGAGUCUUCAGCGGUGGACCCCAAAGAUAAUGGCAGAGUCCGUGGGACCCUGGAUGCAGCGAGCUUCUAGCACGCGUCUGGAUGGUCUUUUGGCUCGGUCUGAACCAAUUAAUUUAUUCU
rnacentral:misc_RNA from 1 species